ACAAAUUGUUGAGGUAUGAAUUCAUUAGUUAGAUGAAAAUGUAAAAUAAUAAAAAUAAUCAUGUGCUUCUGUGUUCAAUUGAAUUUUGGAAUAUGCGAACCUUCUAUAGUUUUAUUUGCAGCAUGUUGAAAGUGCUACAAUUAUACAAGGGCUAAUGUGACUGCAGUCGCAAUCGCUGGAACCAGAUUUUAUUGUAGUAUGAAAUAUUGAAAUAUGUGGGUAACAGAAAGUAUAUGUGAUGCAUAGUUAGAUGAGAAGUUCUAAAAUACAUCUAGAUAAUAUAAUCAUAAUUUAUGUAUGAUAAGUGUGUAUAAUUUUUUUACAAUCGUCAAUUAUAUUUGAUUCUUUGAAAUA
rnacentral:lncRNA from 1 species